rnacentral:tRNA from 2 species
GGGGGUGUAGCUCAGUGGUAGAGCGCAUGCUUUGCAUGUAUGAGGCCCCGGGUUCGAACCCCGGCACCUCCA